ensembl:snRNA U2 U2 spliceosomal RNA
AUUGCUUCUCAGCCUUUUGGCUAAGAUCAAGUGUAGUAUAGUAUGAUGGUGGUCUCAAAAUUUUAUUGCCUAAUGAUGUUAUAGCCAUCUGAGUUUGUACAAGUACACUCUGUGAUGUUCACACAAUGGUAAAAUCUCCUAAGUGACAUAU